GAGAAAAGUGAAGCCAAGAUGGCGGAAUUGACGUCCAAAAGCUAUGAAGGUCGUACACAGUUUUAAUACCAUUAACACAGUUUUAGUACACAGUUCGUACACAGUUUUAACACCAUGACACAGGUCGUACACAGUUUUAAUACCAUGACACAGGUCGUGCACAGUUUUAAUACCAUUCAGUUUUAAUACCAAUAACACAGUUUUAGUACACAGUUCGUACACAGUUUUAAUACCAUGACACAGGUCGUACACAGUUUUAAUACCAUUCAGUUUUAAUACCAAUAACACAGUUUUAGUACACAGUUCGUACACAGUUUUAAUACCAUGACACAGGUCGUACACAGUUUUAAUACCAUUCAAUUUUAAUACCAACAAGACGCUCCGUAGAGCGUUAACUCGCUGGGGCUAUAUACAAAUACGCACAUUACCAUGUAUGAUACAUACAUGCAUGCAGUACACAGCUAUUUUAAUUAAAAUUUAAGGUUGUGAGGUUGUCCCAAGCUAAGCGGGAAACUGAGCGCGAGUUUUGUUCACUCUGUUUUGAACCAUAUCAACAUAUAACAGUGCUCUGCAGUUUAUUUAGGUGAAUACCAUGUUAUAAUAUUGUUUAUUAUCCCACUGAUUUGCAUUGUGCCCCAAUGGCAAUCAUGCACCCUACUUUAUUAUUAAACCAGUCGAUUUUGCUUGUCAAAUUAGUAGGCUUGUAUUGCAGGUAGGUGGCUCAGUUUUGAAGUUUCUGUUAGUAUAAUGACCUCAGUUCAGGACUUAUACAAUCAGAAACAGUACUAUUACAUGUGGUCUACAAAUAAAACUUCCUGCGUUUCCGCCGGCUAGGAUUAAACUGCGCUUAAAAACGUUCAAAAUAAUUUUUGGCUAGGGUUAAACUGCACUUAAAAACGUGCGAAAUAUAAUAUUUUUGGGCUCAAAAUACUAUCAAAAUGAAGAGAGAAGUGAGACGAAUCUACUGGUGUACGGACGAAAAAGGGAAAACCAACGAUACCAAAGUUAUCAAGGAUCAAACGUACUGCAUUUUUUAUAAUUAGUUUAAUAUAAAUUUUGAGCGAUUUGUUAACAAUACAAUUUCGCUUGGCUUUCAAAGACAAACGCCAUAAACCGCUAGAAUACUGUUGUUUAGUAAUACAUUUGACAUCCGUAAGUACAAUUUCUUACGCUGAAUCGAACGGUGAUAUUUUUAUCCUUAUUGCGCCAUUAGACAGUACAAAUACGAAGUCAAACGUACUGCGAGUGUCGAGUGAUUGUCAACAACAGUAAACACAUACUGCGAGAGGUCUGCGAGCGAUUUAAUAGUCAACAAUACAAUUUCGUUUGAUUUUCAAAGGCC